GCCCGGCUAAUUUUUUGAUUUAUUGUAGAGAUGAGGCUGAGGCCGGAGGAUCGCUUGAGCCCAGGAGUUCUGGGCUGCCGUGCGCUAUGCCGAUCGGGUGUCCACGCUAAGUUCGGCAUCAAUAUGGUGACCUCCCUGGAACGGGGGACCACCAGGUUGCCUAAGGAAGGGUGAACCGGCCCAGGUCGGAAACGAAGCAGGUCAAAACUCCCGUGCUGAUCAAAGUUUAAACAUGUAAGAAUCUAUACACAAAUUUUUAUAAGUGGAUUCCAUUUUUU
rnacentral:SRP_RNA from 1 species